GUAGGUGAACCUGCGGAGGGAUCAUUACCGAGUGAGGGCCUUCUGGCCCGACCUCCAACCCUUUGAAUUCCGACUCCGUUGCCUCGGGGGCGACCCGGCCCUCACGGGCGUCGGGGCCCCCGGUGGACCACACAACUCUGCAUCCGUGCGUCUGAGUAACAACCGAAUAAGUUAAAACUUUCAACAACGGAUCUCUUGGUUCUG
rnacentral:misc_RNA from 1 species